CCCCCGGCCCGGCCCUCCGCCCUCCGCACUCCCGCCUCCCUCCCUCCGCCCGCUCCCGCGCCCUCCUCCCUCCCGCCUCCCCAGCUGUCCCGUUCGCGUCAUGCCGAGCCUCCCGGCCCCGCCGUCCCCGCUGCUGCUUCUCGGGCUGCUGCUGCUCGGCUCCCGGCCGGCCCGCGGCGCCGGCCCUGAGCCCCCCGCGCUGCCCAUCCGUUCCGAGAAGGAGCCGCUGCCCGUUCGGGGAGCAGCAGGCUGCUCCUUCGGCGGGAAGGUCUAUGCCUUGGACGAGACGUGGCACCCGGACCUGGGGGAGCCCUUCGGGGUGAUGCGCUGCGUGCUGUGCGCCUGCGAGGCGCUUCAGUGGGGUCGCCGUACCAGGGGCCCUGGCAGGGUCACCUGCAAGAACAUCAAACCAGAGUGCCCAACCUUGGCCUGUGGGCAGCCGCGCCAGCUGCCAGGACACUGCUGCCAGACCUGCCCCCAGGAGCGUAGCAGUUCGGAGCGGCAGCCGAGCGGCCUGUCCUUCGAGUAUCCGCGGGACCCGGAGCAUCGCAGUUAUAGCGACCGCGGGGAGCCAGGCGCUGAGGAGCGGGCCCGUGGUGAUGGCCACACGGACUUCGUGGCGCUGCUGACAGGGCCGAGGUCGCAGGCGGUGGCACGAGCCCGAGUCUCGCUGCUGCGCUCUAGCCUCCGCUUCUCCAUCUCCUACAGGCGGCUGGACCGCCCUACCAGAGUCCGCUUCUCAGACUCCAAUGGCAGUGUCCUGUUUGAACACGCUGCAGCCCCCACCCAAGAUGGCCUGGUCUGUGGGGUGUGGCGGGCAGUGCCUCGGUUGUCUCUGCGGCUCCUUAGGGCAGAACAGCUGCAUGUGGCACUUGUGACACUCACUCACCCUUCAGGAGAGGUCUGGGGGCCUCUCAUCCGGCACCGGGCCCUGGCUGCAGAGACUUUCAGUGCCAUCCUGACUCUAGAAGGCUCCCCAGAGCAGGGCAUAGGGGGCAUCACCCUGCUCACUCUCAGUGACACAGAGGACUCCUUGCAUUUUUUGCUGCUCUUCCGAGGGCUGCUGGAACCCAGGAGUGGGGGUAAGUGGGAUGGGGGCAAAAUACGUGAGAAGGUUAGGGAGAGCACCUGUCUCAGAAAGGCCCACAUGUGCGGCCUUGCAGGACUAACCCAGGUUCCCUUGAGGCUCCAGAUUCUACACCAGGGGCAGCUACUGCGAGAACUUCAGGCCAAUGUCUCAGCCCAGGAACCAGGCUUUGCUGAGGUGCUGCCCAACCUGACAGUCCAGGAGAUGGACUGGCUGGUGCUAGGGGAGCUACAGAUGGCCCUGGAGAGGGCAGGCAGGCCAGGGCUGCGCAUCAGUGGACACAUUGCUACCAGGAAGAGCUGCGACGUCCUGCAAAGUGUCCUUUGUGGGGCUGAUGUCCUGAUCCCAGUCCAGACGGGUGCUGCUGGCUCGGCCAGCCUCACGCUGCUAGGAAAUGGCUCCCUGAUCUAUCAGGUGCAAGUGGUAGGGACAAGCAGUGAGGUGGUGGCCAUGACACUGGAGACCAAGCCUCAGCGGAGGGAUCAGCGCACUGUCUUGUGCCACAUGGCUGGACUCCAGCCAGGAGGACACAUGGCCGUGGGUAUCUGCCCUGGGCUGGGUGCCCGAGGGGCUCAUAUGCUGCUGCAGAACGAGCUCUUUUUGAACGUGGGCACCAAGGACUUCCCAGAUGGAGAGCUUCGGGGGCACGUGGCUGCCUUGCCCUACAGUGGGCAUAGCGCCCGCCAUGACAGGCUGCCUGUGCCCCUAGCAGGAGCCCUGGUGCUACCCCCUGUGAAGAGCCAGGCAGCAGGGCAUGCCUGGCUCUCCCUGGAUACCCACUGUCACCUGCACUAUGAAGUGCUGCUGGCUGGGCUUGGUGGCUCAGAACAAGGCACUGUCACUGCCCACCUUCUUGGGCCUCCUGGAACGCCAGGGCCUCGGCGGCUGCUGAAGGGAUUCUAUGGCCCAGAGGCCCAGGGCGUGGUGAAGGACCUGGAGCCGGAGCUGCUGCGGCACCUGGCAAAAGGCAUGGCCUCCCUGCUGAUCGCCACCAAGGGUAGCCCCAGAGGGGAGCUCCGAGGGCAGGUGCACAUCGCCAACCAAUGUGAGGUGGGCGGACUGCGCCUGGGGGCGGCCGGGGUCGAGGGGGUGCGGGAGCCGGGGGCUCCGGAUACAGCCGCUGCUGCGCCACCUGUGGUGCCUGGUCCCCCGGCCCUAGCGCCUGCCAAACCUGGUGGUCCUGGGAGGCCCCGAGACCCCAACACAUGCUUCUUCGAGGGGCAGCAGCGCCCCCACGGGGCUCGCUGGGCACCCAACUACGACCCGCUCUGCUCACUCUGCACCUGCCAGAGACGAACGGUGAUCUGUGACCCGGUGGUGUGCCCACCACCCAGCUGCCCACACCCAGUGCAGGCUCCCGAUCAGUGCUGCCCUGUUUGCCCUGAGAAACAAGAUGUCAGAGACCUGCCAGGGCUGCCGAGGAGCCGGGACCCAGGAGAGGGCUGCUAUUUUGAUGGUGACCGGAGCUGGCGGGCAGCGGGUACGCGGUGGCACCCCGUUGUGCCCCCCUUUGGCUUAAUUAAGUGUGCUGUCUGCACCUGCAAGGGGGGCACUGGAGAGGUGCACUGUGAGAAGGUGCAGUGUCCCCGGCUGGCUUGUGCCCAGCCUGUCCGUGUCAACCCCACCGACUGCUGCAAACAGUGUCCAGUGGGGUUGGGGGCCCAUCCCCAGCUGGGGGACCCCAUGCAGGCUGAUGGGCCCCGGGGCUGCCGUUUUGCUGGGCAGUGGUUCCCAGAGAGUCAGAGCUGGCACCCAUCAGUGCCCCCUUUUGGAGAGAUGAGCUGUAUCACCUGCAGAUGUGGGUGUCUGCUCUGUCUUGUACCAGGCAGGGGUGCCUCACUGUGAGCGGGAUGACUGUUCACUGCCACUGUCCUGCAGCUUGGGGAAGGAGAGUCGAUGCUGUUCCCGCUGCACAGCCCGCCGGCGGCCAGCCCCAGAGACCAGGACUGAUCCAGAGCUGGAGAAAGAAGCCGAAGGCUCUUAGAGAGCAGCCAGAGGGCCACAUGACCAAGAGGAUGGGGCCUGAGCUGGGCAAGGGGUGGCAUCGAGGACCUUCUUGCAUUCUCCUGUGGGAAGCCCAGUGCCUUUGUUCCUCUGUCCUGCCUCUACUCCCACCCCCGCUACCUCUGGGAACCACAGCUCCACAAGGGGGGGAGGCAGCUGGGCCAGACGGAGGUCACAGCCACUCCAAAUCCUGCCCUGCCACCCUCGGCCUCUGUCCUGGAAGCCCCACCCCUUUCCUUCUGUACAUAAUGUCACUAGCUUGUUGGGAUUUUUAAUUUAUCCUCACUCAGCACCAAGGGCCCCCGACACUCCACUCCUGCUGCCCCUGAGCUGAGCAGAGUCAUUAUUGGAGAGUUUUGUAUUUAUUAAAACAUUUCUUUUUCAGUC